UACGAAGGGGGCUAGCGUUGCUCGGAAUUACUGGGCGUAAAGGGCGCGUAGGCGGACAGUUAAGUCGGGGGUGAAAGCCCGGGGCUCAACCUCGGAAUUGCCUUCGAUACUGGCUGUCUUGAGUGCGGGAGAGGUGUGUGGAACUCCGAGUGUAGAGGUGAAAUUUGUAGAUAUUCGGAAGAACACCAGUGGCGAAGGCGACACACUGGCCCGUUACUGACGCUGAGGCGCGAAAGCGUGGGGAGCAAACAGG
rnacentral:rRNA from 1 species